GGUCUCUUUGUGCGCCCGCCUGCUCUCAUAUCUGUCCGUUUCCACUUCGCUGCUCUCCACCGGUCUCGGCGUGGUCUGUGGAUUCCGGAGAGCAAGGCAUGCGUCGGCUUCGUGCCGCAGGUUCCUGGCCCACGCCAGCCGGACCCAGUAGCAUAAUGGGGUUUGAGAACAUACGCUGGCUGCCUACGCUUGAAGAAAGGGCUUUGCUCCUACUCACACUGGCAAGUUGGAUGCCUUUUUACUGCAUUGCUGUCAGCUAUCUGAACAUGAGUGGCUGUAGGGUGUAAGCUAUGCAUGCUGGCUGCCCUACGCCCGCCCAGACUGAACCAGGACCUCACUUGAACAUGAGUAUUAGACAAUGUAAAAACUUACCUUGCCCAGACUUGAUAUAACAGCUUGGAAAUGCAUAGUUUCGUGAAAGAGCCUAAUAAAAUACUUUUUAAAGUA
rnacentral:lncRNA from 1 species